UAGUACAGCAUAGUCACAUAUGAUGGUGCUGAAAUCUCUCAUUUUAUGGUUUAAGUUUAUGUUGCUGUCAUGUCUUCCAGCACAAUGCAAUUUUCAUUUAACCUUAAAGACAUUCAAAUCAAGACAGGCAGAAACAAGAAGUCCCCUUGAGCCCAGACUGAAGUUAAUUCUACACUUGCAGAUUUUUGGGAGAUUUAAGAUCAGUCCAACUGUGGAAAGUUUUUCCAGAACGCACUUCAGUUUAGUGGCCUUCUGAAGGGAGGUUGGACAGAAACAAGUUGGAAGUUGAAUUUUCCGGGCAAAUGCCAGGCUUCAUCCCACAUAGAUGACCUUCUUUUUCCCAUACUGCAGAGGUCUGUAGCGCCUCCCUCCCACGCAACACGAAGCCCACGCAAAGUUGGCAAAAGGCAUGCUGUUGGCAGCUUUCCGACUGGGAGGAGCGUGACAUGAACACUGGCAGGUACUGUAGGUGCUCAGUGCCUACUGAGGGCACCCAAACUGGACAAUGGAUGUACUCACGGAACGAACAGCAGAGGAUGGCUUCUCGCAGUCAAGCAGUGAAGUUUGACUCUUAACCAUGCCAACAGCGACAAGACAGUGCUAAAAUUAACACAUACAAAUUGCACCACCUACUCACUAUAUUACUGGCUGCUUUGUGCUCGUUAUAAGUGCGCAAACAGUAUAUCAUACGCAAAAGCUGUCGCUGUUCAAACACAGACUACAAUAAAGAAUUUGGAAAUA